rnacentral:rRNA from 1 species
GUCUACAGCCAGGUCACCCUGAAUAAGCCUGAUGUCUGUUCUCGAAAGCUAAGCAGGGUCGGGCCUGUUUAGUACUUGGAUGGGAGACCACCUAGGAAGACCAGGUGCUGUAGGCA